AGUGAACGCUGGCGGUAGGCCUAACACAUGCAAGUCGAACGGCAGCACAGUAAGAGCUUGCUCUUACGGGUGGCGAGUGGCGGACGGGUGAGGAAUACAUCGGAAUCUACUUUUUCGUGGGGGAUAACGUAGGGAAACUUACGCUAAUACCGCAUACGACCUACGGGUGAAAGCAGGGGAUCUUCGGACCUUGCGCGAUUGAAUGAGCCGAUGUCGGAUUAGCUAGUUGGCGGGGUAAAGGCCCACCAAGGCGACGAUCCGUAGCUAGCCUGAGAGGAUGAUCAGCCACACUGGAACUGAGACACGGUCCAGACUCCUACGGGAGGCAGCAGUGGGGAAUAUUGGACAAUGGGCGCAAGCCUGAUCCAGCCAUACCGCGUGGGUGAAGAAGGCCUUCGGGUUGUAAAGCCCUUUUGUUGGGAAAGAAAAGCAGCAGGUUAAUACCCCGCUGUUCUGACGGUACCCAAAGAAUAAGCACCGGCUAACUUCGUG
rnacentral:rRNA from 1 species